UUUCUUUCUUAUUUUCUUUAUGCGCAGACUCAAGUAAUAAGCGGCGUUUGGUGAUCCUCGGGACCUGCCGGAGCCGGAACCCUCUUACCAGCAUUUUAGAUCAGUUGCUUUUCAAUAAGAGUAAACAUAUGGCAGCCUCAGUUCGUCAUUCCAUUUGAUUCUGCAACAACACUCUCAUCAUAUCUCCGGUCGGAAACUGCAUCCCCGUCAAUGACUUCGUUAAAUUAGAAACCCUAACCCUAAAUUCGAUGUCAUGUUUAUGUUAUUUCAUUACUUAUUCAACACAAGGAUGGUGAAUUCUUAACAAAACUUAAUGGAUUUUGGUACAUCUGGUGUGAGGUGACACAACUUUGACAUUUUAAGCGGGGUGUAAACAAGCCAAGCUACUCAAGAUGGGCAUGAAAAAAGCUCGAAAGUUCAAUUAAACAAGCUUGAGCUCGAGCCUAAAAAUUUAGCUUGUUUAGUAAACAAGCCAAGCCAGAGCUUCGCUUAUUGAGCUAGAGCCGGCUGGAGAGCCAGUUGUAUAUAUAGUUUUUAUUUCAUAUAUAUUUUUAUAUAAUAGUUAUUAUUAUUGUUUAUAAAACUACGAUAAGAUAACUACAUCACGAGCUUGAGCUCGAGCCUAGUCGAGCUUGGACUUGGCUCGGCUGGUUUGCACCCGUACUUUUGAGUCUUCAAGAUGUUGAGAUCGUCUUCUGGUUUUCUUACUACAGAUGUUGAGUUCGUCUUGACUGCUUCUGUCAACUUCAAACUACACUUGUACGUCAUCGUGGGAUGUAAGGAAUCAUUGUGAAGUACUUAUUUGUACCUUGGAAUCUUGCGUGUGAUGUGAAGCCUAAAACGUUGCGCAUUUGUAUUGUAACUUAUACACUAUACUUCAUUUUUUUUUCAUUUAUUUAACUUUAAGAGAAUAAUUGAUGUAUUUAUGUUGUAUAUUAACCAACCCUUUGUUGGUUUUCUAUUAGUUAUUUUAUGUUU
rnacentral:lncRNA from 1 species